AUUGAACGCUGGCGGCAGGCCUAACACAUGCAAGUCGAGCGAGCGGCGGACGGGUGAGUAAUGUAUGGGGACUGCCCGAUAGAGGGGGAUAACUACUGGAAACGGUAGCUAAUACCGCAUACUAUCGGAUAACCCAUAUGGGAUUAGCUAGUAGGUGAGGUAAUGGCUAACCUAGGCGACGAUCCCUAGCUGGUCUGAGAGGAUGAUCAGCCACACUGGGACUGAGACACGGCCCAGACUCCUACGGAGGCAGAAGUGGGGAAUAUUGGACAAUGGACGAAAGCCUGAUGCAGCCAUGCCGCGUGUAUGAAGAAGGCCCUAGGGUUGUAAAGUACUUUCAGUCGGGAGGCGUUACCGAAAGAGGAAGCACCGGCUAACUCCGUGCCAGCAGCCGCGGUAAUAC
rnacentral:rRNA from 1 species